rnacentral:lncRNA from 10 species
AAAGCAUUAAUAUUUUGCCUUUUAUAUUUAGCAUGGUUAAUCUGCCUGGGGAUUUUGACAUAUAGUAUGAGGCAGGGACCUAAUUUUAAUUUUUUUUUUCAUGUAGGUAAUGAAUUUCCCCAGUCCAACUUAUUGAAUAAUCAUUGUCCUGAAGUAGUUAAUGGAUUUGAGUUACAGCUCGGCAAAUUCCACAAAGAAAAUAAAACAGCACAAGGUCCCCACAGAGCGACGGGAGGCAGGAAAGGGGAAGUCCAUGCCACCAGAGGAAUAGUUUCAUUGAACGCUUGAUCUUUGAGCCGAACUCAGAAGGAGCCACCCCUGUAAAGGUCUAUAGGCUGAUUAAACUUGAUGGGUUCUGGAGAUGCCGAGGAAGAGAGGCAGCAUCACCUACUUGCCUGGACUCUAGAUGGGCAGCUGAUCAUCUUGGACAGACUGCUGGAUGCUGUACCCAGGGUGGUCACUCCCAGACACCAUAGAAAAUGGAUUGCUCCAAGUUUAAAGCAACAUG